CAUUAGUUGUUCUUUACCAUAUUUUGAACCAAUUUACAUUUGCAUUCAUAUUUGAGUGCCAUUUAUAAACAAACAUCACAAUUAAUUUUUUUUUUGUAUCAUACCAUAAACCAAAUUUCAUUUAAAUCAUAAACCAUGCGUACUUUUAUUUUUAAUAAAGUCCAUAAAAAUUAAGUUUAUUUCCUUUACAUAUCAUCAUACAAUCAUCUUAAUACCAUGUUAUA
rnacentral:lncRNA from 1 species